UGCCUUCACUACUCUAAGUCGCUCUGGAUAAGAGCAUCUGCUAAAUGACUAAAA
rfam:Salmo salar isolate Sally breed double haploid chromosome ssa07, whole genome shotgun sequence.